UGUAUCUGUCUGUGUGGACAACUCGAGAUUUGGAGUGUGAUCCGUGGCCUGGGCCCUGGGCUGCCUCAGGACACUGCCCCAGCCAGCCCAGUUCAUUGCAGAUCCUGUCCGGCCUCGAGGAGGUUGGAGCCUCUGCUCUCUGGGGUGCAGGGGAACAGCACGGGUCUCCACAAAGGCUGGACACCACCUCGGGUGAGACGGCUCCGGCUCCUGUGCCUCUCUGCAGCGUGGUCAUCGCUGACCCUGGAGCAAGCCAGCAGCUUGCCACCCACCCAGAAGGGCCAGCCCCAGGGAGUUUGAGCCAGGGCCCCCCAGAUCUCUGCCUCUGUCUCCACGGGUCUGAGGCGGGGAGGCUGGGACCAGGCCCUUCCUCUGCAGCAGCUUGGGCUGAACAGCUUGGUCCCCGGGAUAAACACUCCCCAGAGGUGGCGCUGGUGGUGGUGCCGCCCGACUCUGCCUGUCCCCUCCACCCCAGCUCUUUGUUCCAGGGACCACAAGCAGUGCAGUCGCACGGACUCCCAGUGCCAGCUCUCUCCUCAAGGCUCUACGCCUCAGACUCGACACUGGGAUCCAGGCCGGGAGCGACAUCAGCAAACCUGUCAGCGCUGUCAGCCCAGGUGCGACAGUGCCAUCUUCCUAAAUUGCCGCUAAUCUGCCACAGACCUCUCUCCCCACAGCCCCCUGAGCUGUUUGCUCACAGUCGGUUAACACCUGAAAUCUCCCCUUCACGGUGCCACACUUUGCACUGAGUCGGGAAGAGGCACCAGAGAGAGGCGCGAGCCCCGGGUUUGGGAGCUGGAGAAGGCUGAUUAGCUAUUCAGGGAGAAUAAUCUUAUUGCGCUAGUAAGAGCUUCGUGAAGAAUGCCUCUCCCUUCCCAGGAACAAUCUUCUAAUUAUGUUGUCACGUUGCCGUUGAGUCCCCGGUGCCACCAAGAAACCGUUUUCUGUGUUAGAAAGAGAUCUCCAGAUUCGGGUGCUGUUUGCUGAUUUUUUUAUUGUUUAAAGAAUCUGUAUGUAUUAAGCCAAACAUUAAAAAAUGAUUCGUGUGCAGCGUAGUUGCCGGGAGCGGGCGGCCCCGUGGGGCACCCCGGCCGUGGGGAGCCGGGUAAAGAUCAGAAUUGCCAGGCUCAGGAAGCCUUGCCUGGUGCUGAAGCGCUCUGCGGAUCCACGCGGCUUGAUGGGUGGGCGGGCGGUGGGCGGUGCAGCUGUGGGUUUCUGUGCGAGACCAACAUUUCUGGCGAUCCAUGCUCUCCGUGGAGGAGGAGAAGUCAGAGCUGAGCACUCACGCACCCUCCUGGUCCUGCUUCGGGCGAGAGGGGAAGAAAAGGCGCGGCGCGAUGUGCGCUCUGACCUCAGGCCGCCUUCCGGGCGGGGGCGGGCGCAGCGUCACCCGCCAGAUUCAGAUAAGGAGAGGAGGUGCGCCUUCUCCGAGCUUCAAACCGCGGCAGAAAGCCCCAGGGUCACGAGUCCCUCGGGCAUGAACCAGGCGGAAGCAGAGCUCUGCGGUCCGGGUGCGGCCGCGCCCUGGGCUUGGCCAGCCAUGCGGUGCGGCUGCGUGCGGUCUUCAUGCUGACAGAGCUGCCGGAGGACUCGGGCUGGUUCUGGCAGAGACCACAGUCACACAUGUGACGUGUGGAGCCACCUCUUCACGCCUGGGCCGUGUCAGAAGUCGCUGGCAGCCACACAAUGAGAUGGCUCCACCAUGCGCAGAGGGAGCUCAGGCGCAACCAUGUUUUCUGACUGAAUUUUCAUGGGCGCGCGCUCGUAGCACAAACGGUCCCCUUGCGGGUGGGGAGCUGGCGCGCACACGCACAUCUCUAUUCUUCCUGCGUCCUCCCCUCGUCUGUCCCCUCCCCCCGUACCUCGGCCCUGUCCUCCUUUGCACAAGAUCCGUCCCCUUGCUGUGGUUCCUGUUUCCUGAUGGGGCCCAAGGGUCCCCGCUCCGGAGGACGACCUUGGCCGGCGCCCCCACCCUUCCUGGGGGCUGGCGGGCCACCGCUGGGGGCUGCGCUGGAGUGGGGGGCUGCAGGAGAGGCCAGUAGGCCCCGGCCUGGCGGUUAGAGAUGGGGGCUGUGGGUGCGGGAGGGAAGGAAGGGGGCGUCAGGCAGAUGGCAGGCGGAAGACCCCAAGGAGCACAGGAUGGCUUAAGGCUCAGCAGACCCCCGAAUCUCAGCCCUGAGUGGGUGCAGUGCCUCCUGCUGGGGGCCGGCAUGGCAACCUCUGCCGCUGGAGCAGUGAGAGGACAGGGUUUGCACGGAUGCCUGUAAUCCUAGAGCUAUGGGAGGCUGAGGCAGGAGGAUCACAAGUUUGAACACAGCCUGGGCAACUUAGUGAGACCCUGGCUCAAUAUAAUUAUCAAAUUUGAAGAGGGCUGGGGAUAAAGCUCAGUACAAAGGUCCUGGGUUCAAUCUUCAGUACUGCAAAAUAAGAAAAAGAAAGAAAUGAAGGAAGAAAUGAAAGAAAGAGAAAGAAGAAAAGCCAAUCAUUCAUCAUAGUUGCUGUAGGCCUAGGAGGAAGGCAGGGUGUACACGAGUUGCUCCGGGAAGUGUGCAUCUUCCAUAGGAGCCAGCGCAGCCUUCGGGGCCUCUGCAGAGCCCAUGCCUGUCCUACCUCUCCCCUCACGUUGUCUUUGGUUUCCAGUGGGCGAUGCAUGGACAAAUUCGGACGCAAAGCUCCACCUGAGCACAGCCCUCUGCCUGUCCCUCGAGGUCCCAGCCCUUCCUGUCUGGGCUGGACAGAAAGGGGGUGCAGCUCGACGCACUGAAGCCCGGGGAGGGAGGACAGCGCUGCCCACGGCUCUUGCAUGAGGGUGCUCUGCAGUCACACGUGAUCACAGCCCGCAGCGCACGAGGCCCUGCUGCCAUAGCUGCCUCUGAACACAUAUGUCUCUCACAGGCCUGCAGUCGGCUCUGCGCGGUGGAUGUGGGAACCCAGCCACGGCAGCCGCCCCCUGUGCUGCACGGCGGUCAGAGCACACAGACCCCAGCGCCAGCCGUCAGCCCUGUGUCUCCAGGAACUGAACAUGUGUCCUCCACGUCCCCUUUGCUCCCUCAGCACCCUGACAACAUGCGGGGCCCGACUCCUGAGCUCCCAUCUGCCUAGAGGCACCGUGUGCCUGCAACCCUGGGGCUCCGGACCCCGCUCUGCCUCCACAGGGCCGAGGUUGGUGUCCGUCAGUGGGCUCUGCACCUUGAAGAUGCUGAGCCCUCUGCAUUGCACAGUGGAGACUGCCAGAUCCCCCAAGGGCUGCACAGGAGAGAGCAAAGCCAGGCCCAGGGCUCAGCAGGCAGAAGGAAGCCUCAGGCAGGCAGGGUGGUGGCAGGUGUGCGAGGACCUGGGCUGGUGGAGGAGCCACAGGGCACCCCCGGGCACGGCUCAUCCUGAGGCAUGUGGCAGAGCGAUGCCUGGGUAGAGGGCCGGGGAAGGAGCCACAGUGUCCCAUCGUCCCCGGCCUGCAGCAUAUGACUGUCCAGUUUACUGCUGUGAGUCUGGCCUCCUUCAGGACAAAAUGCCAGACCUGAAAUCUCUUGGAUGCAGCCCCUUUGGAGCAGUGCUGGUGUCCACAGGCCCCUGACCUUCUUCCUGAAGAGCGAGGCCUGGACUCAGCACAGGGGCCGCAGGUGGGAGAAGCCUUCCCAGAGGCCGUGGGGGCUGAGAAGUUCCCAGGAGGGCCAGGCCUUGCACUGUCCCAGUGGCCACCUGGAGACAGCAAAGCCGCCUGGGGUGCAUCCCACCAAGGAGGCUGCCAGGGAGACAGCAGCCACUGAGGACACCUGAUGUCUCCGACCUGGGUGCUCACAGAUGGGGCUAAAAACACACUGAGUUGUAACGAACCACAAAACACGCAUUCAGGGUCUGUUCACACAAAGCAGCGGGAUAGCUGUCCGGAGCAACAUCAGGGAAACACAUGGCCCAUCCCUCAGGAUUCCAAGGUGAUGGCACAGUAUGAGAUAGCAGGGUGCCAGGGACAGCGACAUCUUUGCCCUGGCAGGUGCCACCCCGAGCAUCAGGCCUGGAACGGGCACAGGUCAGACUGCGCCCUUCCCAGCCUCGGUGACCAGGCCCAGCAGAACCUCCUGGCUUCCUGACCACCUCCCAGCCUGUACCUGUUCCGGAUCAGCACCCGGUGAAGCUCCAUGUGGAUUACAAAUGGCGAAGGUCAGAGCAGGACAGACGAUCCAGUUUCAGAACUUCUCUCUGCAUGAGGACUACCGGCCAGGCGUGGGCUGCCAGGUCCCGGGCAGGUCAAAACAACUGUGAACGGUCAAUGUGCUGAAUCGAUUCAGGACAUGGAGGCAGCCAAGGCAGUGCAGCUGAAGACCCUCAGGAAAGAGGACUCCAGAGCGGCUGCAGAAAGCGGCAAGGAUGGUGGGAUGCAUGUGUUCGGAGGGAGGGGGAGGAUUCUGAAGGGGCUGUGGCACUGUGUCUUUUACUAUAAAGUUUUGUAAAUGUAAGGAGAUGUAAGCAUUCACUGUCUGGUUUUUUUUUGGUGCUGGGGAACGAACUCAGGUCCUUGCGCUUGCACAGCAGGUGGCGAAACCACUGAGCUAAAUCCCCAGCCCUCAUUCACUGCAUUUUUAGUAAAACUUCAUGGUUCCUUGCAUUCUGCUGGUUAGCCUGGAACUGCUGCUCUGAACCCAGGCCUCUCUUCACAGUAGGUCGGUCUGCCUAGACUGGCCAGUGGCGCAGGAUGGAGAGGAGUGUUGACAUGGGCCUGUGUGGGCACCGGGAGAAUGUGGGCCUGGUCAAAGCAUUCAGCUUCAUGUGCUGUGAAGGAGGCACAAAGGCUCUUUCUGGAAACCCAAGACCGGAAGUAGCCACCCCCACUGGAGUCUGCGACCCCAACUGAAACAGCCCCACAGCUAGGGUGUGCUGACAUUUUAGUAUCUGCGUGUAUCCGGCCAUGUGAGCAACUGCCUUUCUCUACUUUAGGUAACUUCUGUUAAAGCCUAUAGCCUACAUCUUUUUUUUCCCUACAUCUUUUGGCUCAACUGCUAGAUUAUUAUGAUAAAAGAAUAUUUAUGUUUUUAUCUUUUCUUUCUUCUUUUGUGAAUUAAAUGAAUAAUUGUUUCAAGUCUGCAUUCUAAAAUUAUGUAUAACUAUAAAGCAUUGUUGCACAUGUUAGCUGCACAUGAUGUUUAACAUACUUGUUAAUUUGUGACAAGGUUACUUUUUAUAGAACAAUGGGUGAUUUUGAAAAUAUUUUUGGUGAAAUGUUACAAACUCAUUAUUCAAUUAACUAUGCAUCCUUUCCAAGAUAUAAAUUUUAAAUGUUUUUAUCAUGUCUACAGCGUAAAUGCCAUUACCACCAGACUUACAAUGGGCAGCAUGCUUUCCUUUCCCAGUGGCACGGAACGUAAAGGUGCCUAUGAGGCUUGUUGGAACAGAGAUGUAGAAGCAGCCUGUACACACUCUCGUCCGCAGGCUGAAGGUGAAGAAAAACAGCGCGUGUCAAGGACCGGAUGUUCUUUGAGAAUCUAUAAAGUGUAACCCCAGAUUUCAGCACAACUGUUUCCUCCAAACCACUUUUUCCUUGUGCUCGGUGGUCCACACUGGUUGGCAGUGUGUCUCAAGCAGAGACUGCCUGUCGGCUCCAUCAACUGAAAAAGCUACAAGUAACAUUCUAGAAGAUUCUUAGACAAUAAAGCAAAGCUGAGUAUUUCCCGGGUGGCACCAAAGCUGAUGAGAAGAAGAAAAAAGAGCCUGACAGGAAAGAAGAAGAAAAGGAAAGAAAACUCAAAGUCCCUCUGCACGGGACUGAGUCGGUGUUGUGUAUUUCAGGAGAGCGUGCAGACUGCACCCAAGGUGUGUGGCCCUUGGUGCUGCUCUCUGGAAACUACGCAGCAGUUACUGUCACACAGAAAAUUCCCUGCUGCCCCAGGCUGUGCCUCACUGCACUGCCAGCCGCAACCCCUUUGGGGUCUUUUCUCAGAGCCAGGAGCUCUGGGGAUCUUAAAUGUUAAGGCCGUAUGAGGUGUGUGGGGAGCAUGGGGAGAGGAGCUGUGUUUAGAUGUUUUUAUUUGAAGUGCUCAGGAUGAAGGACGGUGCCGGGCUGGGCUGGAAAACCCACCUCUUCGUGGAGCACGCUGCCGGCCAGCGACACCGGCCCUUGCCAGGCACCCUCCACCCCCUCUCUUGUCUCAGGCCGGAGCAGGCUGCCGUUCACUCUCGGCCUCUGCUCUCUGCUCUCUCCUCACCCCAUUCUUUCCCGGCCCAUCCUAUGUGAAUGGUUUAAAGGGAAUUACCUAUUACUUCAAUUAUUUGUUUCUUAUCAACUGAUGUUAAACUACAAGGAUUUGCAUUGAAAAGACACAAAGAAAGAGCAAGUCAUGGCACAUGGCCAAAUGAAAGAGUAAUGUUCUGGUGAAUUUAGCCUAAAUAAUUUACUGCUGUAUAAAAGUGGAAAAGUGGAAGGUGAACCCUCUGACCAAUAAAUCUCCCUGCCCAUGAAACCCUUAUCUGGUCGCCUCCGAUACAUUCCACAUGAGGAAGCCAUCACUGCUGGCUCUGGUUAGCUAUUCCUAAACCUUGAUCUUCUGCACUCCGCGUCCUAAAUAUGGAUAAUUAGCAUCAGUUUAUCACGCUUCUGCAUAUUUUCUCUUCUCUCCAAACACGCAUGCUUCUGUUGGCUGCCAUUCUGCUACGGAAGAUUAUGGAGACAGAUUGCAGAGAACGAAUGUGCUAAACGAGAUUAGGAAGGAAUAGAAAUAGCAACUUGGCCAAUAAAUUCCUCGUGAGAGCCUUAUCAUGCAAUUACACGUUGACUUGCUCCACACUCUCCUCGCCUCUUAAUCCAACGCCCCCACCAGGAAUAAAAUUUCGCUAAUUUCUGGAUUGCUGCAGAUCCCCCUGACUUGCUACUGAGAAUGGUUGGAAGGAGAAACGCUGCUGAAAACAUCAUGUCAAACUUUAUAAUAAAAAGUAAACUCUGAAUGUCAGCGUGGGUGGUGCAUUCCAGGGUGUCUGAAGCAUCUCCCAGUGAGUGAGGCUUUUGGCUUCUCUGGCUGCUCCACCUUUGGGAUUCAGGACUGUCAGAAUGGAGCGCCUUGCUCCUCGAGGGACUAUCUGAUGUGUUUCAAACCAGGACAAAGCUUCCCCUGCCUUUCUGACUUAAGACGAUGGAUGACCGAUAGCAGUUGCGAUGCCCCUCAGGCAUUCUGGGCCAAUCACUUGACCUCUAGUGCAGUCUACUCCUUGGUCGCAGGGCUGCUUCUUAUUGGAGGCCCCUCCUCGUGUGGUGCUAUGGCUUCUCAUGCUCAUUAAUGUACAGAGACAGGAAAACCCCUGCCCGUGUGUGCCUCCCGAGGGCAGCCCAGAGCUCUGUAAUAGGGCAUCCCCAGGGGGAGCUCUCCUCUUGCCUCUCUGCCUGCUAGUGUCUUCUCCCCAGGGCUUCACGAUAAGUUAGAUAUUUAAAGAGGCCACGAAGAAUUCCCGUCUACCAGAGGACUGUUCAUGGCACAGAGCCACCAUCAGGCCGUGGGGCCCCAUGGCAGCAUGGUGCUGGAGGAGCAGAGAGGCACCCACAGGACUGGGCUUGUGUUUACCACAAGGAGUGAAAGUCUAGAUCCAGUAUGAAACCAGGCACUUGGCUUGUGGCAGGGGACCGGCUUCCAGUUCGGUGGAAAGAAUUAAUUUGCCAAAGAGAUUCUCAGCAAUUAUAAGGAGAGUUUUGAUGCAUCGAUUAUAAUGUCGCCUUCACUUUCUUUCCGCCAAGAAAUUUCUACCAGGAUUCACGGAGGAGGAGAGUGUCAUGUGAACAUGCCGGAGAGAGGACCUGGGCCUUCGCCUUACAGCCAGGCCCUGAGCUCAGCACCCACUGGGAGGACCCAGCUGCCGCUCAGCUGCCAGGGUGCAGUGUGGGGAAAGCAGUCAAGCCCGCGCGGUGAUUGUGAGGGGCUCUGCUGGAAUUUGGCAGCGCGGAGGCUUGGAGCGCAGCCCCAUGCUGGCUCCUAUUCAGCGGCCGGUUCCCCUCCAGCUCUGGAAGUUUCACUCAGCCGUGCACUCAAUGGCUCCACAAAGCUGAUUACAAGCUCCAGCGCAUUCCUGAAGGAGCCAAAGCGACGCAGGUGCAAACGAGCCGAGGGAGCCCCUUAUCCCGGUGACAGAAUGGGACAAGCUGGGAAAGGCUCGGACCACACAAAUCCAGGCUCACCAGGCAGCAGAAAGCCUGCUUGGGAACCGGGGGUCAUUAUCCGACCUAUUCACGCCGGGCUGCGGCCGGGCAGGCGGGCGGGGCUCUGCGCGGGCUCCUCGCCGCCGAGGCCGCGCAAAGCCCAGCCGGCUUCGCCCGCGCGCCCGGGCCCGAGCAGCGGGAGGCUCCACGCGGGCGCCCGGGUCCCGCGGCAGGGCGCAGCGGGCAGGGCGCGCCCACGCGCCUUUGUCUGAUAACUAAUUUGAGUUAAUGCGAUCUGUAUGGAAAGCUAACAGCGGAUAAUUGUCUAUUUUCUCGCCAACAAUCUCCGUCACAGUCACUUAUCUGGAGACCUGCGGUUCGAUUAAUCGCUACGUCCCGGAAGCGCGGGCCGCACACGCGCGGUGGGCACCGGCGCCCCGCACCCUGGCCGGCGGGAGGACGUCCAGCCCCGGCCCCGCUCCCUGUCGGCCCCGCUCCCGGCCGGCCCCGCUCUGGGCCCAGCUCCCCGCGGGCGUCCCAGUGUUUACGCCUAGCCGAGCCAGGGCGGCUCGGGGACCUCGCCGCCGCUCCGAUCCCGCCUCAGCCCCGCCGGCAGAGACGGGGCGGGUGGCGGCCGCCUCUGGGGAGAGGGUUGUGUGACAGAGUUUUGUCUCCCCAGCUAAAGUCAGAACAUCAGCGUCAACUGCGAAUCGCUCGGCGCGGACUUCGCCUGUGCAGCUGAGGCCUCUGCUGCCCGAGGGACCGAGAGGGCAACUUCUCAAAGUGGAGUUUCUGGAAAACAGCAAAUUCAGACUCCACUGGGACAGUUUUGGGCCACAGAAAAAAAAGCAUUGGCUUCCUGUUUGCAGGAGACUCAAACUUCCGUGAAGGAACAGGAAAUAAAGGCGGGAAGCUGCUGUGUGUGUGGCAAAGCCGCCUGCGCUCCUCCCAGGCGCGUGCCCUGAGAUCCUGUCAAAAAGCCUUCUCCAGCCACCCUGAGGGCCCUAGGAGCAGCAGGUCGCCCCAGCUCCGCGCUCUUUCUGGCGGCCCUUGGGAGGCACCUACUUCGCCUCUCACCUGAAUCUCCCACCUCGGCCAUCUAGAGGGAUCUGUGGACAAAGCUGAGCCCAGCGACAGCCCUGGUCAGUCAGGCGGAACGGUCUAUGCAAAUCGGGGCCCGGGAACAGUGCCCCUUUGUCCUGGCCUUUCAAAGCCCGGCAGCUGGGGACUUGUGCCUUGGACCCUCGGCGCCCACAGCUAUGUCAUCAUGGCAGAACGUCAGAUGCUGAAAACUAUACGACCUGAAUUCAUGAGCAGCCUUCUUGGGAAGGUCCCCUUUCCGGUCCGCGUCAAAGCCCAGAGCCGCGUGCCGGUGGGUCAGGGCAGGUCGGCCGGACCGCUGCAGUGAGGGGAGAGGUCACCUGCCCGCCCGGCUCCCCAACCUUCCUAACUGUCCCCUGGGGCCCGCGCUGAUGUCUGACACUGGCGACCCUGAAAUGUCUCCCCAGUCCCACCUGAUGCAGAUUGCAAGUUUCGGAGACAGCAAGCAGCCGUGAUAUCCAGCUCUGGGAAUGAGCAGAGCGUCCGGCCUCUGCCUGCUCCAGAGUGCCAGGGAGGGCAUGGAAGCUCCCUGGGUGAGAGCGAACUCCAGACAGUGCUCACCAGACAGCAAACUCCUUUUUAAGCCAGCGUGCAAGGCAUGAGCUUGGGGCCCCUGUGUGGAAGUUCGACUCCCUCUGGGUCGUGGGGUCCCUCAGUGCUCCCCUUCCUGGGUGACCUUGCAGCCCCUGGGGCUGGGGACCCAUAAAUGAGACCUGGGCUGUCACCAGUGCCACGGCCCAGUGUGCGCCUGCGGGGCGGGGGGCCCCACGUUCCUGGGAGGCCCAGGGCCUGAGCUCACCCCCACCCCCGCUCCCCAGCCCUCGAGUGCUGGCCCCUGAGCUCUGAAGGGUGCCCUGCUUCUCUGGAGGAUCCUGCAGCCCAGGCCCUCUGCCUGCCGCCUCCUCGCACUGGAAAACGUUCCCAGGAAAGAGGUCACCUGGAGACGCCACCAGGUCACUUCCCAGUGAGAGCUGAGGACCCAGGGACCCAGGGAGCAUCAGAGGCAGACGUGCUGGUUCUCCCCUCCCUCCGCGGUGAGGCUGCUGCACCCCAGGCCUCUCCUGUGUGCCCCAGCUCUUCCCCGAGUGGCCAGUGCCCUCCCCAGGUGCCCCCCACCCACCAGAUGACUUCUCUUUUUUUUCCUUUCUCCCAUCCCACCCUCCUUUUUGUUUUCUUCUUUUGCAGUGUUGGUGAUUGAACCCAAGGUCUUUUCAAUGAACUACAUCCUCAGUCCCUUUUUUUUUAUUUUGAGACAGUCUUGCCAAGUUGCCCAGGCUAAGUUUGAAGUUGUGAUCCUCCUGUCUCAGCCUCCUGGAGUGCCAGGAUUAUAGCCAACCACCACCAAGCUUGCCUGUUUGACAAACUGAGGAGCGAGGGUUCAGCGGGGCUGCAACCAAAUACUACUUUGUAGUUGCAACAUGGAAGGCUGGGAAACAAACAGGAAAGGCCGCACAGGGCGUGGCCGCGUGGCCGUUGGGUUGGGAGGGUGCUGGCGCAGCUCUGACUGUCGACGCCUUUGGGCCUCGGAGCGCAGCUCCUGGGGGUCUCUGGACCUUGGAGGGCGCUGCCCAAGGCCGCACCCCCGGAGACCAGAGUUUGGGCCGUGAGCACGUGGGGUAUCCAGGGCCUGAGUCGCCUGGAGGCAGAGGCUGUGCCAGCCUGGGUCUCCGACGUCGACCCAGCCUGUGGACCACGCCUGGGUUCAGCAGCCUGCGGAACUCGAGUGCCAGAGCGGCCAAGCGGUCCGGGUGGGUGGAGCUGUGGCCGAGGGGCCUUGUCCGUCCCUGCACACAGGUCCCAGGGCUGCUGACCUCCGCAUCGGCUUGGCCCUUCUGCUCUCACACACACUCACUCCCCAGCAUCGUCUCUGCAGAUGGUCUCAGGGUUGUGGCGUCGCACACUCUCUCACACUCUCCGUCCGCCCUCAGUCUCCACAGAGCCGGUGGGGGGAUGCUGGGUGGGUGGCACCCGACUCCCAGGGCAGGGAAGCCACAAAGCCGGCAGGGGCCCCUCGUGGAGGCCCCCACGUGUGCUUCUGAGCCCCAGGCUGCCUCUCCUGUGCAGCACGGUGGUGCCGGGUCCCUGACACACAGGCCACGACCUGCCCUCCGUGCUUCCUGGUCCUGUCGGCCCUGCUCAUGACUCUUCGUCGACCACCCUUGGACGCUGCCUGGACGUGCGCUGCCAGGAAGGUGGAUGCCAGCAGGGCUGUGAGCGCAGAGACUCACGAGUGUGACGUCCGCACCCACAUAAAGAUGCUGAUGGGAAAUGCGUGGGAAACCCAUUCCUCCCCGAGUGUUGGCUACAGUGUGUGUAUUUUGGGUGUAUUGGGUCUAAUAAAAUAUAUUCUUGAAAUCAA